AUGAAAAGCCACUGGUGGAGCUGUGUGCUGGGGUUAGUCUGCAUGGCUGCUGAGGUCGCGCACAGCACCUGGACAGUUCUCCAAAGUCCCGCUUCCACCCAUCGCGCAAAAGUCAACUCCUCUGCUGAGAUCAAAUGCUCCACAUCCUCAACAGAAGUGAUGGGGCUCUGCCUGCGUAGGAGAUUCCACAGCAAAAGGGACAUUGUGUUCCUGUCCCUAAACAAAGGAGAAGUAAUGAAAGAUACUACGGCUACAGAAUUUAAAGGGCGAAUUCAGGUGACUCCGAACAGGAAUGUCAAGCAGGGCAUUGAGCUGACCCUGCAACUGUCCCUGCUGCAGCUCGAAGACACAGACUUGUAUUACUGCGAGUGGAAUUCUCUUGACUCACAGUCGAUGCAGGAAUCCAAGUCCAGCAAUGGAACCAUUUUGAUCGUCAGGGAGUUUGAUGCCCAUGAAGAAUGCGAGUCCAAGCUGCUGGAUCACGUCCUGAUUUCCUUAAGUGCGGCUGCAUUAAUUUUCCUACUGUUUUUUUGCAUUGGAACGAUGAUUCUGAAAUGCCCAAGAUUCAAGAAGCGCUUCAGACCGGCCAGGGUCAUAACAUCAAACAGACCGAACAGGCCACAACACGUGUGUCCUCAGCGGAGCAACCAGCAUUACCCUUACUGGAUAACGACUGAAGAUAACCUGGACUACAGGGACAUUCUGUAAUGAUGACAUGAUAAGGGACAAGUAUUCAUUGGAAAACUGGUCUCAACUAUGAAGUCAAUAUAAGAUAGCAGUAUACAGGGGACAUCUUUAACAGCUAGCCCUCUUUUGUUUUUCUGCUCUUCGUUUCCUUUUACAAAUAAAUCUGCCUUUGUAUGUAUCUGUCA
rnacentral:lncRNA from 1 species